UGUAAGCGUAUGCCAAAGUUGUUGCAGUUAAAACGCUCGUAGUCGGAAUUUGGCAGUUCCGGAUGUGUGCACGUCGUGUGCGCACUUCGCGGGGAUUGCUUUGUGGUCUUGCGUAGGAUGAGGCACUUUUAUUAGUGAACGUCCUCACGCAACCACUUUUUACUGUGAGAAAAUCAGAGUGCUCAAAGCAGGCAUUUGCCGUGAAUGUAUUAGCAUGGAAUAAUAGAAUAGGACUUGGUUCUAUUUUGUUGGUUUGUUGGGACUGAGUAAUGAUUAAGAGGGACAGUUGGGGGCAUUUGUAUUUCGGUGCUAGAGGUGAAAUUCUUAGAUUACCGAAAGACAAACUGCUGCGAAAGCGUCUGCCAAGGAUGUUUUCAUUGA
rnacentral:rRNA from 1 species